rnacentral:rRNA from 1 species
GAGCGGAAGAAGGGAGCUUGCUCCCGGAUGUUAGCGGCGGACGGGUGAGUAACACGUGGGUAACCUGCCUGUAAGACUGGGAUAACUCCGGGAAACCGGAGCUAAUACCGGAUAGUUCCUUGAACCGCAUGGUUCAAGGAUGAAAGACGGUUUCGGCUGUCACUUACAGAUGGACCCGCGGCGCAUUAGCUAGUUGGUGAGGUAACGGCUCACCAAGGCGACGAUGCGUAGCCGACCUGAGAGGGUGAUCGGCCACACUGGGACUGAGACACGGCCCAGACUCCUACGGGAGGCAGCAGUAGGGAAUCUUCCGCAAUGGACGAAAGUCUGACGGAGCAACGCCGCGUGAGUGAUGAAGGUUUUCGGAUCGUAAAGCUCUGUUGUUAGGGAAGAACAAGUGCAAGAGUAACUGCUUGCACCUUGACGGUACCUAACCAGAAAGCCACGGCUAACUACGUGCCAGCAGCCGCGGUAAUACGUAGGUGGCAAGCGUUGUCCGGAAUUAUUGGGCGUAAAGGGCUCGCAGGCGGUUUCUUAAGUCUGAUGUGAAAGCCCCCGGCUCAACCGGGGAGGGUCAUUGGAAA